rnacentral:rRNA from 1 species
UAGGGAAUAUUGGUAAUGGGCGCAAGCCUGAACCAGCAACGCCGCGUGUGCGAUGACGGCCUUCGGGUUGUAAAGCACUUUUGACUGGGAAGAGGAAGGACGGUACCGGUCGAAUAAGCCUCGGCUAACUACGUGCCAGCAGCCGCGGUAAAACGUAGGAGGCGAGCGUUAUCCGGAUUUACUGGGUGUAAAGCGCGUGCAGGCGGCUCGAUAAGUUGGAUGUGAAAGCUCCCGGCUCAACUGGGAGAGGUCGUACAAGACUGUCGGGCUUGAGGAUGGUAGGGGAAGGUGGAAUUCCGGGUGUAGGGGUGAAAUGCGUAGAUAUCCGGAGGAACACCAGUGGCGAAGGCGGCCUUCUGGACCACACCUGACGCUCAGACGCGAAAGCUAGGGUAGCAAACGG